rnacentral:rRNA from 1 species
GACGAACGCUGGCGGCGUGCUUAACACAUGCAAGUCGAACGGAAAGGCCCUGCUUUUGUGAGGUGCUCGAGUGGCGAACGGGUGAGUAACACGUGAGUAACCUGCCCUUGCCUUUGGGAUAACUUCAGGAAACUCGGGCUAAUACCGGAUAGGAGCUCCUGCUGCAUGGGGGGGGUUGGAAAGUUUCGGCGGUUGGGGAUGGACUCGCGGCUUAUCAGCUGGUUGGUGGGGUAGUGGCUUACCAAGGCUUUGCCGGUUAGCCGGCCUGGGAGGGUGACCGGCCACAUGGGGACGGAGUAAGGGCCCAGACUCCAACGGGAGGCAGAGGUGGGAAAUUUUCAACAAGGGGCGGAAGCCUGAUGCAGCACGGCCGCGUGCGGGAUGACGGCCUUCGGGUUGUAAACCGCUUUCGCAUGUGACGAAGCGUGAGUGACGGUAAUGGGUAAAGAAGCACCGGCUAACUACGUG